rnacentral:rRNA from 1 species
ACGGAAGGCAGCAGUGAGGAAUAUUGGUCAAUGGUCGGAAGACUGAACCAGCCAAGUAGCGUGAAGGAAGACUGCCCUACGGGUUGUAAACUUCUUUUAUGUGGGAAUAAAGUGCCCUACGCGUAGGGUUUUGUAUGUACCACAUGAAUAAGCAUCGGCUAAUUCCGUGCCAGCAGCCGCGGUAAUACGGAAGAUGCGAGCGUUAUCCGGAUUUAUUGGGUUUAAAGGGAGCGUAGGCGGAGACUUAAGUCAGCGGUUAAAGCGUGUGGCUCAACCAUACCACGCCGUUGAUACUGGGUCCCUUGAGUGCACAUAAGGAUGGUGGAAUUCAUGGUGUAGCGGUGAAAUGCUUAGAUAUCAUGAAGAACUCCGAUUGCGAAGGCAGCUGUCCGGGGUGUAACUGACGCUAAUGCUCGAAAGUGCGGGUAUCAAACAGGAUUAGAUACCCUGGUA